GGCCGCGAAUUCGCCCUUAGAGUUUGAUUCUGGCUCAGGACGAACGCUGGCGGCGUGCCUAAUACAUGCAAGUCGAACGCUUCUUUUCCCACCGGAGCUUGCUCCACCGGGAAAAGAGGAGUGGCGAACGGGUGAGUAACACGUGGGUAACCUACCCAACAGAAGGGGAUAACACUUGGAAACAGGUGCUAAUACCGUAUAAUAAUCGAAACCGCAUGGUUUCGGUUUGAAAGGCGCUUUACGGUGCCGCUGAUGGAUGGACCCGCGGUGCAUUAGCUAGUUGGCGAGGUAACGGCUCACCAAGGCCACGAUGCAUAGCCGACCUGAGAGGGUGAUCGGCCACAUUGGGACUGAGACACGGCCCAAACUCCUACGGGAGGCAGCAGUAGGGAAUCUUCGGCAAUGGACGAAAGUCUGACCGAGCAACGCCGCGUGAGUGAAGAAGGUUUUCGGAUCGUAAAACUCUGUUGUUAGAGAAGAACAAGGGUGAGAGUAACUGUUCACCCCUUGACGGUAUCUAACCAGAAAGCCACGGCUAACUACGUGCCAGCAGCCGCGGUAAUACGUAGGUGGCAAGCGUUGUCCGGAUUUAUUGGGCGUAAAGCGAGCGCAGGCGGUUUCUUAAGUCUGAUGUGAAAGCCCCCGGCUCAACCGGGGAGGGUCAUUGGAAACUGGGAGACUUGAGUGCAGAAGAGGAGAGUGGAAUUCCAUGUGUAGCGGUGAAAUGCGUAGAUAUAUGGAGGAACACCAGUGGCGAAGGCGGCUCUCUGGUCUGUAACUGACGCUGAGGCUCGAAAGCGUGGGGAGCAAACAGGAUUAGAUACCCUGGUAGUCCACGCCGUAAACGAUGAGUGCUAAGUGUUGGAGGGUUUCCGCCCUUCAGUGCUGC
rnacentral:rRNA from 1 species